GUUUGGGAAUGCUGCUCUAAAUGGGAGGUAAAUUUCUUCUAAAGCUAAAUACCGGCCAGAGACCGAUAGCGCACAAGUAGAGUGAUCGAAAGAUGAAAAGCACUUUGAAAAGAGGGUUAAAUAGCACGUGAAAUUGUUGAAAGGGAAGGAUUUAUGACCAGACUUUUUCUAGGAGGAU
rnacentral:rRNA from 1 species